AUUGAACGCUGGCGGCAGGCCUAAAACAUGCAAGUCGAACGAGAGGCGGACGGGGGAGAAAAGUAUGGGAAGCUGCUUGACGGAGGGGGAGAAAUACUGGAAACGGUAGCUAAAACGGCAAAACAGUGGAUGUGCCAUGAUGGGUUGAGCUAGUAGGUGGGGUAAAGGCUCACCUAGGCGACGAUCCCUAGCUGGUCUGAGAGGAUGACCAGCCACACUGGAACUGAGACACGGUCCAGACUCCUACGGGAGGCAGCAGUGGGGAAUAUUGCACAAUGGGCGCAAGCCUGAUGCAGCCAUGCCGCGUGUAUGAAGAAGGCCUUCGGGUUGUAAAGUACUUUCAGCGGGGAGGCGUUACCCGCAGAAGAAGCACCGGCUAACUCCGUGCCAGCAGCCGCGGUAAUUC
rnacentral:rRNA from 1 species